rnacentral:rRNA from 1 species
GCAUAUCAAUAAGCGGAGGAAAAGAAACUAACCAGGAUUCCCCUAGUAACUGCGAGUGAAGCGGGAAGAGCUCAAAUUUAAAAUCUGGCAGUUUCUUUUAUAGCUGUCCGAGUUGUAAUUUCGAGAAGUGUUUUCUGUGCUGGACCAUGUACAAGUCUCCUGGAAUGGAGCGUCAUAGAGGGUGAGAAUCCCGUCUUUGACAUGGACUACCAGUGCUUUGUGAUACACUCUCAAAGAGUCGAGUUGUUUGGGAAUGCAGCUCAAAAUGGGUGGUGAACUCCAUCUAAAGCUAAAUAUUGGCGAGAGACCGAUAGCGAACAAGUACCGUGAGGGAAAGAUGAAAAGCACUUUGGAAAGAGAGUGAAACAGUACGUGAAAUUGCUGAAAGGGAAACGCUUGAAGUCAGUCGCAUUUGCUGGAACUCAGCCAUUUUUUAAUUGGUGUACUUUCCAGUAGAUGGGCCAGCAUCACUUUUUUUUAAUUUGGCUUGCUGGAAAAGGGCAAGAGGAAUGUGGCACUCUUUUAUUAGAGUGUGUUAUAGACUCUUGUCAUAUACAGUGGCUAGGAGUGAGGACUGCCUAUUAUUAUUUUAUGUAGUAAUAGUAGGAUGCUGGCAUAAUGGCUUUAAACGACCCGUCUUGAAACACGGACCAAGGAGUCUAACAUGCAUGCAAGUGUUUGGGUGGUAAAACCCAUGCGCGUAAUGAAAGUGAAUAGUUGGGAAGGUUAUCAUGGCCUGCACUGAUGCCCGGACUUGAGAUUUAUCGAUAGUUCUGCGGUAGAGCAUGUAUGUUAGGACCCGAAAGAUGGUGAACUAUGCCUGAAUAGGGUGAAGCCAGAGGAAACUCUGGUGGAGGCUCGUAGCGAUUCUGACGUGCAAAUCGAUCGUCAAAUUUGGGUAUAGGGGCGAAAGACUAAUCGAACCAUCUAGUAGCUGGUUCCUGCC